GGUCAUUCCUUUAAUUAACAGAGCUCAAAUAGUGGAUGAUGCCUUCAAUCUGGCCAGGGCCAAGGUGAUCAACACGACAUUAGCUCUGAGGACCACCAGGUACUUGUCUCAGGAGAGAGACUACAUCCCCUGGGAGUCAGUUCUUAUAUUAUAUAUUACCAGGUACCUGUCUCAGGAGAGAGACUACAUCCCCUGGGAGUCAGUUCUUAUAUUAUAUAUUACCAGGUACCUGUCUCAGGAGAGA